rnacentral:rRNA from 1 species
GACGGGGGGGGGCAAGUGUUCUUCGGAAUGACUGGGCGUAAAGGGCACGUAGGCGGUGAAUCGGGUUGAAAGUGAAAGUCGCCAAAAAGUGGCGGAAUGCUCUCGAAACCAAUUCACUUGAGUGAGACAGAGGAGAGUGGAAUUUCGUGUGUAGGGGGUGAAAUCCGUAAAUAUACGAAGGAACGCCAAAAGCGAAGGCAGCUCGUCUGGGUCCCUACCGACGCUGGGGUGCGAAAGCAUGGGGGAGCGAACAGG